UCCGAGUUGUCCCCGGCAGUCCUCUUAGAGUCCCCGACAUAACUCGCUGGCAACUAAGAGCAGGGGUUGCGCUCGUUGCGGCACUUAAGCCAACACCUCACGGCACGAGCUGACGACAGCCAUGCAGCACCUGUGCUAGCCCCUUACGGACACGGGCUUUCACCCGCUUUAACUAGCAUGUCAAGCCUAGGUAAGGUGGGGAUGACGUCCGAGAGUACGUCC
rnacentral:misc_RNA from 1 species